rnacentral:rRNA from 1 species
GAUGAACGCUGGCGGCGUGCCUAAUACAUGCAAGUCGAGCGAACAGACGAGGAGCUUGCUCCUCUGACGUUAGCGGCGGACGGGUGAGUAACACGUGGAUAACCUACCUAUAAGACUGGGAUAACUUCGGGAAACCGGAGCUAAUACCGGAUAAUAUAUUGAACCGCAAGGUUCAAUAGUGAAAGACGGUUUUGCUGUCACUUAUAGAUGGAUCCGCGCCGCAUUAGCUAGUUGGUAAGGUAACGGCUUACCAAGGCAACGAUGCGUAGUCGACCUGAGAGGGUGAUCGGCCACACUGGAACUGAGACACGGUCCAGACUCCUACGGGAGGCAGCAGUAGGGAAUCUUCCGCAAUGGGCGAAAGCUUGACGGAGCAACGCCGCGUGAGUGAUGAAGGUCUUCGGAUCGUAAAACUCUGUUAUUAGGGAAGAACAAAUGUGUAAGUAACUAUGCACGUCUUGACGGUACCUAAUCAGAAAGCCACGGCUAACUACGUG